rnacentral:rRNA from 1 species
UACGUAGGGUGCGAGCGUUGUCCGGAAUUAUUGGGCGUAAAGAGCUUGUAGGCGGUCUGUCGCGUCUGCUGUGAAAAUCCGGGGCUCAACCCCGGACUUGCAGUGGGUACGGGCAGACUAGAGGUGUGGUAGGGGAGACUGGAAUUCCUGGUGUAGCGGUGAAAUGCGCAGAUAUCAGGAAGAACACCCGUGGCUAAGGCGGCUCUCUAGU